UACGGGGGGGGGCAAGCGUUGUUCGGAAUUACUGGGCGUAAAGGGCUUGUAGGUGGCCAACUAAGUCCGACGUGAAAUCCCUAGGCUUAACCUAGGAACUGCGUCGGAUACUGGAUGGCUUGAAUCCGGGAGAGGGAUGCGGAAUUCCAGGUGUAGCGGUGAAAUGCGUAGAUAUCAGGAGGAACACCGGUGGCGAAGGCGGGUCUCUGGGCAACAACUGACGCUGAGGAGCGAAAGCGUGGGGAGCGAACAGG
rnacentral:rRNA from 1 species